rnacentral:rRNA from 1 species
CCUACGGGAGGCAGCAGUAAGGAAUAUUGGUCAAUGGGCGCAAGCCUGAACCAGCCAUGCCGCGUGCAGGAAGACGGCCCUAUGGGUUGUAAACUGCUUUUGAACAAGAGAAAACCUCGGUACGUGUACCGAGCUGAUAGUAUUGUUAGAAUAAGCAUCGGCUAACUUCGUGCCAGCAGCCGCGGUAAGACGAAGGAUGCAAGCGUUAUCCGGAUUCAUUGGGUUUAAAGGGUGCGUAGGCGGCCUGAUAAGUCAGUGGUGAAAUCUCUCAGCUUAACUGAGAAACUGCCAUUGAUACUGUCGGGCUUGAGUACAGAUGAUGUGGGCGGAAUAUGACAUGUAGUGGUGAAAUACUUAGAUAUGUCAUAGAACACCGAUUGCGAAGGCAGCUCACAAAACUGUAACUGACGCUGAGGCACGAAAGUGGNGGAGUACAACAGAGUAGAUACCUACGUAGUCGCACCGUAACGAUAGAUACUCGUUGUUGUGAUAU